UACGUAGGUGGCAAGCGUUGUCCGGAUUUACUGGGCGUAAAGGGCGUGCAGGCGGUCUGUUAAGUGCAGGGUGAAAGCUCCCGGCUCAACUGGGAGAGGUCCUUGCAUACUGGCGGACUUGAGGGGGGUAGAGGAAAGUGGAAUUCCCGGUGUAGUGGUGAUAUGCGUAGAUAUCGGGAGGAACACCUGUGGCGAAGGCGGCUUUCUGGGCCCUACCUGACGCUGAGACGCGAAAGCCAGGGGAGCGAACGGG
rnacentral:rRNA from 1 species